rnacentral:rRNA from 1 species
CAGUCGCCACGGUAAUACGAAGGGGGCUAGCGUUGUUCGGAAUUACUGGGCGUAAAGCGCGUGUAGGCGGGCGUUUAAGUCAGGGGUGAAAUGCCAAGGCUCAACCUUGGAACUGCCUUUGAUACUGAAUGUCUUGAGUCCGGGAGAGGUGAGUGGAACUGCGAGUGUAGAGGUGAAAUUCGUAGAUAUUCGCAAGAACACCAGUGGCGAAGGCGGCUCACUGGCCCGAUACUGACGCUGAGGCACGAAAGCGUGGGGGGCAAACAGGAUUAGAUACCCGCGUAGUCCCUGUCUCUUAUAA